CCCUCGAGAAGGACCUCGUGCGCCGUCCCAAGUCCUGUGUAACUGCGUUGCGUCGGAGGAGACUGAGCCCAGAAGGCAGAAGGGACUUGGCCAAGAUUGCGCAAUGGGUUUGCGGUCCAGACUCCAAGUCCCCACCCCCCCACUCCCUCGGCCUUGCUGAGCUGGGCGGUGUCUCCAACACCCCACGCCAUUCUCCACCCGCUGGGGGAGCGAGGCCCCAAAGAGAUGCACCAACAAGGCGUAAGAAGGGCGUUCUCCACGACCUCACCAGAGCAGGUGGAUUUCCGCUAAGCAGGGCACACAGUGCUGUUUCUGAGAGAGGAAUAAGGAGCCUCUUGGAGGUGGUUAAGCCUGGGCACCCGGCAGGGUCGUGAAAUUCUGGAUCUGCUCUGUGUCCAGGUCAAGUUGAGACUGCUGGCUGUUGGCCUCUAGAGCUCAGGAGGGGGCCUGAGCAGCAGACAGAGACCUGGACGUCGUGAGAUUGGGGACACCUGGGGAAGAUGAGCACGGGGAGAAGAGGCCCCAGACACUCUGACCCUGAGGUCGGGGGUUACGGAGGAACCAGAAAAGAGAAGUAGGAAGGAGUGGUCAGUGCGGCGGGACCCACGCCGUGUCCUGAAGAGGACGGAGAGGACGGUCACGUGAGGCCGGGAUUAGGUCGUGGGAGCACUAAGAACGGACCCCUGGAUGAAGCUGCCUGGGGGCCAUCAGUGACCUUGAUGAGAGCUAUUAGAACUGAGUGCUGGGGCCCAGACGGAGGGCAGCGGAGGAGCGGGGGACAGAGAGUGUAGACAACCUUUCCAGAGAGACCUGCUCGAAAGCUGAUGGCCUAAAUUGCAUCCUCCGUGUUCAUAAACUGAAGCCCCAGGGACCUAUAGUUGGCGAUCCUCCAUCAGAGGAGGAAACGGGACACACACAUAGUCUUAGCAGCAAAUGCACCGAGCGGGAAAGGUGGCCGUCCACCCGCCCUAGAUAUGGACCUUCGGAGACCCCAGCCCUGGCCUCACGUUCCUCGGGGACGUCCAGCCUCCCGGACUGAGACAGGAUGACCCCGGGUUACGGCGCCCCAGGAGUGAUGGAGGUUUACAUGCGGGGCUUUGAAAAGCACCUGAGAAUCGGGGCCUGAAGCCUGGGAUGGCUGAGUGAGGUAUCUCUACUACUCAGCUGAACAUGUCGCCCUGAACCAACUAUACUUGAAUCCCUUAAAAAAAGAAAAGAAAAGAAAAAAGAAAAGAAAAGGCCAUUUCUUCUUAGAAACCUUCAGUGAAUCCCGUAAUCCUUACUCAGAGGCCAGGAAGGAAGUACUAAUGUCGAGAGAGACACAGCAAGAGAAGGAACACAAGCAGGGGCAGAGGGAGAGGGAGAAGCAGGCUUCCCGCCGAGCAGGGAGCCGGAAGCGGAGCUCGAUCCCAGGACCCCGGGAUCAUGACCCGAGCCGAAGGCAGACGCUUAAUGACUGAGACACCCAGGCGUCCUGGAGAAAAGCAUUUUUAAGGGGCAUCCUGGAAAGCUGUCUUUCCCUUUUCUCUCUGUUCCUGUAUUUAAAUUGAUGCAAAUAUUUUCUAGGCCGAUGGGAUACUGAAGAACGUCAAACAAUCGCCUGGAGGACAGCGCUUGGGGACAAGGAAGCCGUUAGCGAUACUCGCAAAGGUGGUCAUUUGUCACAAUUCGUGUUUUCUCAUUUGAUGUUUGAUAUAACCGACAAUCCUGAGAAUAAUCCGUAGGAAUAUCCGGGUUUCGCCAGGGAGAAAUGACUCCCAGAAGCUGACGUGACGGCCCAUCCAAGGUCACAGGCAGAGCACGGAGGACACGUCACGCCCUGUCCCCAUCACCAGGGCGCCCGGCCUCCAAGGCUGAGCGGGGAGUGGAAGGCAGCCUUAAAACGGACUCGAGCGGCUCCGCGGAUCUUCCAACGUUCCUCUUCAUUGCCAUCAUCUGAACAUCAGGACCCGAGCUCGUCUUCCCGGUGAGGUGCCGCAAGGGGCCGCCUUCCCCCUUCACCGCCCCUCCCCCCACCCCGCCCCUCCCCUCUGCCCCCAGCGCACCAGACACACAGGCCUUCAGUCCUGGGAAGCAAGUCAUCUCUCCAAAGGAUGGAGAAACACUAGUAGGAAAGUGAAAGAAGAGGCCAGGAUGUUGUCCUGCCAGUGCUGUCUCAGCCUGGAACCUUCUACCCAUCAUGCCCUCUGAGCGUGCUCACCUACCAUGCCGCAGCCUUACUGCCCACCGUCCUCCCUCCCCAAUUCUGUUCCAUCUUGUUUUGAGUCUCAGUACGCUCAGCACGAACUACUUAGGGCAAGGACAUCUGGGUCUCACUUCCCUUCGGUGUGUCCCCCUCGACACCCAGGGCAGCACCCCCCUCGACAGUGCCCACUGCCUGAUUCAAACAAGGGCCGUGACAUUUCGAUGAACAGUUAGGUAGGUCCACAAGUCAUCUGAAGAGAUCUCACCAAGAAUGAAUGGAUAAAACAAAGCCAAGAGGGUUGGCACCAUGGAAUACAGCUCAGCCUUAGAGAGGAAGGCGAUUCAGAUGCAGGAACCGCCUUAUGGGAGGUCCCUGGAGGAAUCAGGCUCACAGAGACAGAAAGCAGCAGGAUGGAUGCCGGGAACUGGGGGGAGGGUGGGGGGGUUAGUGUUGAAUGGGGACAGAGCCUCAGAGUGGGAAAAUGAGAAAGUUCUGGACACAGCAACAGCAGUGGAGAAGGUAAAAUUCACAUUACGUGUAUUUUACCACCAUUAAGAAAAACAUCCCAUCAAGGAUCAUUCGUGCGCUGACUCAAGACCAGACUGGCGGGGCCAGACGCCUUCCUUUUUGAUGCCAGUGCUGAAAUAAGCUUUGUUGCUGGAGUGUGUCGAGGCUCGGUGCCAGGCUCCCUCUGGCCUCAGAGCACCGCUGGUCCACGGUGGGACCAGCAUUUCUUUAUGGCUUCCUUGGGGGUGGACAGAAGGGAUGAAUCCGUGGCCCCCAAGACUACCAGGGAACAUUGCACACACGGUAGGCACUCAGUAAUUGUCAAGGGACUGACCAACAUGUUUUCCCUUUCUAGAAGGUUGAUAACCUUGUAGGUUCGAGAGAGUUGUAAAUGUCAGGGCAAAUUUUUGGAAUUGCAAAUCAAAGGCUCUCGGGGCGGUCUAGGCACAGACGUCAGUUUGGUCCAAGUCCAGGUGUAAGCAAAUGGCCCUCCGCUGACCCACUCCUGGGCUGGUGGUGCUGGGAGGCUCCCAGCUUAGACAAACCUCUCCGUUCCUGCAGGGCAAGUGCAGCUGGGAAGGCUGUUUCCCUACAGCCUCCUAGUCUCCCUGUGGCCCCUCCAACUUUGUUCUGAGCUAUGAAGCCACCGAGAACUCACCUUCUCUCCCCAUGCCCCAGGGUGCAGGAGAGCUUAGGGGAGGGGGGCCUUCCUGCCUAACCCUGUGCUGGGCUGGUCCUCCAUCCAGGGAAGGGAACUGCAGGCUGCGGUCACCAGGACCUCCUCCUGGCUUUGCUGGGAACUGGAGCCCCUCCUGUCCCCUCUCCAUGGGAGAGGCGGUCCUUCCCCCUCUGCACCCAGGGGCCCCACCUUCUCGGGAGCCUCUUGAGUCAGGCCUCGCUGUGGUACGGAAACUUCCUGUCCUUUCAGAUGUUAGAAAAGGUUCUUUUCCUCUCUGUGGGGCAGGUGCACCAAGGGGCGCCCUGCCAGGCCACUGCCAGGGACCGCUCUGGGGACCUGCUUCCCCGGACCCACGUCCAGGUUCACCCCUUUCUUCUGAGAGGGGUGUGGGGACUCUGCCAGGUGGAGACACAGGGAGACUGACCCGUCCCAGAGAGCACCGGAGGAGACACAGGGAGGUGGAAAGUGGGACUAAUCAGGACUGGAAGGAGAGGUUUGGGGUAGCCGUGGGGGGCGGGGAUACCACAUGGAGAGUGAGGUAGAGAAAGGGAGGGGGAGAGAGAUAGAUGGGGGUCCAGCUCCGCAGGGCGAGGAGGGCAAGUCGUCCUAGACCUCUCAGGUCGCUCCCACCCCGGGUGUGCUCUCCCCGGGUGCGCCCCCACAGCGACCGCACCCCAUCGCCAGCACCGCCCGUGGCCCACCCCCCAUCUUCCCGCCGCACCCCUCCUGAGCCCGGAUGCAUUGUGGCCCCCCCCACGCCGUCCCACCCCCGCGUGUCCUCUCCCCCAGCACACCCCCCCACACCCCGACGGUGCCCCCCGCGGCGGAGGCAUCCCCACGCUGCGCCCCCUAGUCGCGCCCCAUGCCCCCCACCCCCGCGUCCGCCCUGCCUACCUGGGGC